rnacentral:rRNA from 1 species
CCCUUCCGCACUCUAGCCUUGCAGUAUCAGAUGCUGUUCUUCCGUUAAGCAGAAGGCUUUCACAACUGACUUACAAAGCCGCCUACGUGCUCUUUACGCCCAAUAAUUCCGAACAACGCUUGCCGCCUCUGUAUUACCGCGGCUGCUGGCACAGAGUUAGCCGUGGCUUCCUCCGGAGCCUUAGUCAAGUAAGGGUACUAUUAGCACCCUUA